AUGCAUAGUAUAUCCAAAACUGUCCACAUUAUUUUGUCAUUCUGAGUAUACAUAUGAUAUGACAAGCAUACACAUGCAUACUUUUUAGGAAAAAUGUUAAUUUUACCUCUAUUCCACAGGAUAUUCUGAAAGGGCAGUUUUUGGAGAGACUUUUGAACAAACUGCAAUCUGCAAUAAGUCAGCAACCACUUAAAGGAUUAGUCCACUUUCAAAUAAACUUUUCCUGAUAAUUUACUCACCCCCAUGUCAUCCAAGAUGUUCAUGUCUUUCUUUCUUCAGUCGAAAAGAAAUUAAGGUUUUUGAUGAAAACAUUCCAGGAUUAUUCUCCUUUUUACAGCCUUUUACAGCCCACGUGAUCAAAUAGUUGCGUGCGCAUUUUGGCAACGGAAGUGGUGUUGUUCCCCAGUGGUUCUAACGUGUUAGCAACUCCGAAAGUUUACGGUUGCACUAAUCGAUAUUCCACCAAUGGGCUUAAGUUUUAUAGGAUUCCGACAGGAUCAUGGCCGUUUCAGAAGAAUCGGCGGCGCCUGUGGCUGCAGGCGAUUAAACGUGUUGAUUGGAGCGAGGACAUGACAAAAAUAAAAAUAGAUUUGGCUAGUAAACAAACGUGUGUGUGUUUUAUUUGUUUUAUUUGCAGGUGAGGCGUCAUUGGACUCUAGUAGUCCUGAUUUUGUGCCUACUGUGUUUGUGUACACAAAACAGAGCCAGAACCCUGAAGCAAAGUUGGAGAGGUACCAUAGGAAAAGAAGGAGAGAUGACAGACCUAUCAUGGCAGCAAAUCUAUGUGUUCCUUCUAAAACUCCGAAACAAGAAUGCAGCAUGGAUCAUUGUCCAGAUGUUAAAGCUGCUGGAAGCUGCCUGUCUAGCCUCUUUGGUUUGUGGAAGCUGAUUUCCCUCAAUGGAGCUGGUCUGACUUCUUUCCUGCUGAUGUCUUUCCACAUGCACACUCCAGAUGUAACUGCUGCUUUCUCAGUCCUUCCCAUCCUAACAUAGAGCUCAACUUUGAAUAAUAUUGCAGCUGCAUGACUGCAGCAUGACCCAAGCCUGAAAUUUCACGAAAACAUAAUAAACUUACUGGCUGAUCAAUAAUGUUAUGACCAGGGCUUGAAAGUAACAUUUGCUUUCAGGCCAAAUUUCGUCUCGGACUAUGAAGUAGGUAAACAUGACCUAUGUUAGCUACAAGCCCACAACACCAAAUAAUACCCUACUUACCCCGCCA